rnacentral:lncRNA from 1 species
CCUGAUUAAUUUGCCAGUGCUUGUUAACCAUUCUCCUGGCCACAUUUUAUGUUGAUUGUACAGGUAGAUAAGUUAUAAGGUCACAGCUGGGCCAGAGAACCGGCCAAGGGCCACUGAGUGAGGCGGGAGAGCAAUGAACAGGCUUGUUUAGGAAAUACUGGAGUACAGCCAACAGUCUGUGGGUAAACUGGGUAGGGAAGAGGACGACAGUGAAGGUGCGAUCCCGGUCCUCAUGGAUGCCUGGGCCAAUCACAACCAGAGAGGGCCCCAGGUGGACACAAGAAUAUAGCUCAGGCUUUCCACUUGCUGGGCUGGGGUGCAUCUGAGGCAGGUAAGACAACCUGCCAAGCGUGCAGACAAAACCCGGGUUGGGCUCAGCAGAGGUGUGGGCUGCAGGAGGAAUGUUGUGUACCCCUGUGUGGUACUGCCCCGUGGACAUGGAUGAGACAGAUGGGAGCAUGGGGCGGCCCAAGAGGAGAUCCCCAAGGGAAGAGCUGGGCAGGGAUCCUGGUGGAAUGAGCUCAACACGGAAUCAGAAGAGUAGAGAAAGAAAGCCAGGAAUCUAUAGGUCACAGUAGCCAAAGGCAAAGAGGAAUUGUGUGGUGUGGGUGCUUGGCUCCCAAGAUAGACUCUUUUGAGAGGUCCCACCAGCUCAGCCAGCCAGUGACCAACAUAGAGAUACGUGUUGGUCGGACUGCACAGAGACCCUUGGGCUCUUCAAGGGACCUCUUCCAUAGACUUUCAAAGUAUUUACUCACUUAGGGCACACAAGACUCACAUUACUUCCCCCCGCCCAUUCUUCCAAGGAAGAUACCAAGGCACAGAGAGAAUUGACCAUCUCACACAGCCAUCAAGUAGAGGAACUAGAAUUCAAGCCCAGGCAGUUUUGCCCCAGGGUCAUAGUCUUUACCACCACACUGUGCCAACAUUUCCACCCCUUUUCCACCCACGGCUUCUUUUUUGAUAGCAGGAAAUUUGCAAUUGCAAAUUUUCGUCAUCAAAAUGCCAACUUUCACAAAUAAACAUUUUUUUAAAUGCUAGCUUUCCAUGUAAACACAAGAUAUGAGGCAAUCUCCUCUUUUUGACCAUUUGGUUAAGAUAAUGAUGUAGCCGGGCAGGGUGGCACACGCCUGUAAUCCCAAUGGCUCCAGAGGCUGAGGCUGGC